UGGCGACCGGCGCACGGGUGAGUAACACGUAUCCAACCUGCCGAUGACUCGGGGAUAGCCUUUCGAAAGAAAGAUUAAUACCCGAUGGCAUAGUUCUUCCGCAUGGUAGAACUAUUAAAGAAUUUCGGUCAUCGAUGGGGAUGCGUUCCAUUAGGUUGUUGCGGGUAACGGCCCACCAAGCCUUCGAUGGAUAGGGGUUCUGAGAGGAAGGUCCCCCACAUUGGAACUGAGACACGGUCCAA
rnacentral:rRNA from 1 species